GGCAACCCGUGGGGUCAACCGGGUCAGUCUGACCCGCUCUGAACUAAAAAUUGAAAGGAAGGGGCUACGUCCCGAAGCGCCUCCCUUUCUUGCCCCAAAACCCUAGGAAGCUUCCAUAGCUGCAGUCUGCAGGCGCCUUGCACCGCUGUGACAACGAAGCUGCCACCGAUCGUCGACGGCCUUCCCUUGUCUAUUACAGCAACCUUUAAGGCUUCAGCCCAAGCCAUGCAAUGGCUGACUCAGGGGGUCAUCAAUUCUCUGAACGAGCGAACUCAGAGGAUCAUCAGCAUUCAGAGCCUGUUUGCAACUUUUUUAGAAAGCCAAUAAAGAGCAAGAACAUUCGAAAAAGAACAUUUAAUGAAGAUGAAGAUGAAGAUUCAAAAACUGAGUCCUCAGUUGUGCAUAAUUUGAAAAAACCCACUAGGCCUGAUAAUGUGCUACACUUUUCAACUGGACCCUCCAAGUUCUCAAUGCCCACAGCAUCAAAUGUAGAAUCUCAGAAGUCAAUCUUUCAGUUUGAAUCAUCCAAAGAGAUUCAGGUUCAACAUGAUAGCAAAGCAACAGCAACUCUAGAAACUGAGACUGAGUUUUCAAAAGAUGCUCGGGCAAUCCGAGAAAGAGUUCUUAAGCAAGCAGAAGAGGCUUUGAAGGGAAAGAACACUAGCUCUGGAGGUGAAAAAUUGUAUAAAGGUGUUCAUGGGUAUACUGAUUACAAGGCCGGGUUUCGAAGAGAACAAACAGUUUCUGGUGAGAAAGCUGGGGGGUCACAUGGGCCUCUUAGGGCUUCUGCUCACAUCAGAGUUUCAGCAAGGUUUGAUUAUCAACCAGACAUUUGUAAGGAUUACAAAGAGACUGGUUACUGUGGGUAUGGAGAUGCGUGCAAAUUUAUGCAUGAUCGAGGGGAUUAUAAGCCUGGUUGGCAAUUGGAGAAGGAAUGGGAGGAAGCAGAGAAGGCAAGGAAGAGAAAUUUGGCUUUGGGAGGGGAUGACAUUGGUGAGGGUGGAGAUGACCAGAGUGAGGAAGAUGAGGAUGCUUCACUGCCCUUUGCAUGUUUCAUUUGCAGGCAGCCAUUUGUAGAUCCUGUCGUAACAAAGUGCAAGCACUACUUCUGUGAGCAUUGCGCAUUGAAGCACCACUCGAGAAACAAAAAGUGCUUUGUUUGCAACCAGCCUACCCUUGGCAUAUUCAACACAGCUCAUGAGAUUCGCAAAAAGAUGGCUGCAGAGAGAAAGUAACUGAUUUUUCUCUAGUUUGUUCCAAAUUUUUCUUGGAAGAUGCCUUUCUCCCCUUUGUAACUGGUAUUACAUAUGAAUGAAGAUCUUAUCUCAUGUGCAUCCUUCAAGCCAUCACAAUGACUAUCCUGGACACAACACUUGGAUUUAGAUAUUCUAGAUUUUUGGAAAUCACAGAGUUCUCGGUAUCUGGAGUUAUCCAUGAUAGCACGUGAUAUCCUGAGCAUAUUGAUUAUCACAGUUGCAUCUGAGUUGGCUUUUGGCAUGGAGAUAGAAUAUUAAACAAAUUUUCGAAGCCGCUUGGUGCUGGAGUAUGUGGAGGCCUUGAUAUGAGCCUGAGAUUGGGUAGAUGGAGUAACACUGCUGAGGAGUAUGAGUCCUUAGUUGAAGACUUAUCCAAAGUGACCAUAAUUGCUUCGUAACUCUGAAUCAUUAGAUGUUCAGAGACAUUCUUUUGGAAGUUCUUGGAUCCUAAGUUUACAAGCAAGUAAUCAAGAAAGUAACGAGCACAUGUUAUCGAAAAGGUUAAGGCAUAUAUAUAUAUAUAUAUAUAUAUAUAUACAUAUACCCAUCCAUUUUCUUGUUUUAGUUAAAGCCUGCUUUACCAGGUAUAUCUUUUCCAUUUCAGCAGAAAAUAGGUGUCCUUCCUGUGGUUUGGGUUUCAAGCAUCAUAAAGAUUAGCACGAGGUUCCAGAACUAUUAAUUCUGAUUUAGAUUGUUGUAGUUUUUUAAUUUAAAUUUGAGUUGGCUUAACUAUAUUAUCCUUUGAUUGUAUUUUUGAGAUUUUAUUUUAUUCUCACAGAAAUUUGACUUACUGCCUAGCACAUUGAUAUUUGAUCGAUAAAUUGAUCUUUAGGAUCUGCCCCCUAGUUUAAUUUAAUAGAAUUCGUGAUUACUAGUGCCAUUUUCUGGCUCCUGUUUUCUGUAACAUUGACAGCAUCUGGUGGCUGCAAACAUUUAUGGUAAAACUGCCUAGGCACGCUGCUAGUUUGUUGGCUGCAUACGCAUAUGGUAUAUCAGAAGGAAAUUAGCGUUUUCUUGCAUUUGUUCAAUUUAAAUUGAGAUUGUGCGUCAUUCAAGUUUGUUUAAUUACCAUGAUCUAUCACAUAAUUGAUAAUACCAUUCAAAAACUGCAGUGAUGUUUACUCUUUUGAACAGACAUUAGUAUUCGUUCAGUUCAUUGUACCUUUCUAGUGUUAUUUAACUCUUAAUUAUUUGCUAAUUUUGUUUCUGCAGAUAGUAUGUAUAUCAGGCUUGAAUAUGCAUUAUUACCAUCAGACUGCAGAUAGAGUUCCAUUUUUAACAAGAACGAUUUGAAGCCCUUUUUUUUUUUUUUUUCUUUUGUUAUUCAACUUAAACAGUGCUUUUGUUUUGUCGUCUUUUUUUUUUUUCAAUAGCUUGAGAAGCACAACCAAUUUAAUAGGUUGUGAUUUAAUCAUUUCUUGCUUGGCUUGAAAAUAAAAAAGUCUAUUAAA